rnacentral:snRNA from 1 species
AGAGGACUCUAGAAGGACAGCAAA